CAGUCGCCGCGGUAAUACGGAGGGUGCAAGCGAUAUCCGGAUUUAUUGGGUUUAAAGGGUCCGUAGGCGGAUCUGUAAGUCAGUGGUGAAAUCUCACAGCUUAACUGUGAAACUGCCAUUGAUACUGCAGGUCUUGAGUAAAUUUGAAGUGGCUGGAAUAAGUAGUGUAGCGGUGAAAUGCAUAGAUAUUACUUAGAACACCAAUUGCGAAGGCAGGUCACUAAGAUUUAACUGACGCUGAUGGACGAAAGCGUGGGGAGCGAACAGGAUUAGAUACCCCCGUAGUCCCUGUCUCUUAUAC
rnacentral:rRNA from 1 species